rnacentral:rRNA from 1 species
UACAUGUGGGGCAAGCGUUGUUCGGAAUUACUGGGCAUAAAGGGUGCGUAGGUGGUUUGUUAAGUCAGUGGUGAAAGCCCAUAGCUCAACUAUGGAACUGCCAUUGAUACUGAAAGGCUUGAGUACAGACGAGGUUGGCGGAAUGGAUGGUGUAGCGGUGAAAUGCAUAGAUACCAUCCAGAACUCCGAUUGCGUAGGCAGCUAACUAGGCUGUAACUGACGCUGAGGCACGAAAGCGUGGGGAGCAAACAGG